UGGAAGGUGGUGUAGUGGAAGCACUUGGAGUUUUGAUCUCUAGGGUAAAGGUUCGAGUCCUUUCUUUCCAA
rnacentral:tRNA from 1 species